AGAGGGGGCUAGCGUUAUUCGGAAUUAUUGGGCGUAAAGGGCGCGUAGGCGGCUUAGCAAGUGGAAGGUGAAAUCCCUCAGCUCAACUGAGGAACUGCCCUCCAAACUGCUUUGAUUGAGUCCGGGAGAGGUGAGUGGAAUUCCCAGUGUAGCGGUGAAAUGCGUAGAUAUUGGGAGGAACACCGGUGGCGAAGGCGGCUCACUGGACCGGUACUGACGCUGAGGCGCGAAAGCGUGGGGAGCGAACGGGGAUUAGAUACCCCGGUAGUCCACGCCGUAAACGAUGAGUGCUUGGUGUAGCGGGUAUCGACCCCCGUGCUGUGCCGAAGCUAACGCAAUAAGCACUCCGCCUGGGGAGUACGGCCGCAAGGCUG
rnacentral:rRNA from 1 species